AAAAGAGUUGUUAAGAGGGGAAAUAGUUUGCGAGCCCAUGCUCCACGAAACUUGGCUGCCUCGAUUUCGUAGAAGCCCAGCUCGGCGAGAUCUCGGGCUUCGGCCAGGGCGAACCCCGACCUGUACCCCGCCGGCGAUUGCCGGCCUCCCCGGGCCAAAUGCCAGCCCCUAAGCUCUCUUUGAUGCGGUCUGAACAACUGCACCUCUGUAAGGGCCCAACAAGAGCCCUCUCUUUCUUUCUAUGCUUUGUGCGCCGGCGCUGCACUUUUCUGUGCCGUGCAAGGGUAAACCCAACUAGGGCCACACCUUGCACAGGGUGGGCUGGCUUUGACAUGGGCUCAAAGCAAACUCUCCCCUUCUAACAACUCUUUAGCCCUCCUAACCAAAGCUGGAGUAACAGGCACAUGCUACGGUGCCCGGCUGGUGCGCGCGCUCAGGGCCGCCCUCUUUGAGCUGGUUGCCUCCGUGUUCGGUAAGCAGUACGGUGCUAAUGCGGGGAGCAAACGCAAGGUGUUUGUUGCUUUGCUCUGCUUCGCUGCUUGCGUGCUCUUUUCCCUGCGCACGUGCAGGGUCCGUAGUGGCGCACCCUCCACUCCUCCGCAUCUCAGGCCUUGUUUAGUUCGCAAAAAAUUUUAAGAUUUUUCGUCACAUCAAAUGUUUGGUCGUAUGCAUAGAGCAUUAAAUAUAAAUAAAAAUAAAAACUAAUUACACAGUUUAUCUGUAAUUUGUGAGAUGAAUCUUUUAAGCCUAGUUACACCUUGUUUGGACAAUGUUUGUCAAAUAAAAACGAAAGUGCUACACUAGCCAAAACCGAAAAUUUUUACAAACAAGGCCUCAUUCUCAUGCCAGCCGCAGGAGCUCAUGGCGAUCAGGCUUGCGCGCGGCCCCGUCGAAUGGCCUCACGUCGUCGGCGCCCGCCGAAGACGACGACGACGACGAAGGCCGCGCGAGAGUAGUCUGACCUCCUCGGCGUCUUCUCUAUGGCUCGGUGGCCGGCGUGCCUGGCGGCGAUCUCUUGUUGUCCCUCUAAGCCUCAGGCGUGGUGAGUCUUGCAGAGGGCGCAAACACCACCGCGGGUAGAGCUAACGCCGGCCAGUGCGGCCGAUUGAGGGGGCACGUCGGCGAUGGGCAAUGGCGCCCCCGUGCGGUCGUGCCUAGCGAUCGCGGCAACAGCGCCAAGCCCAAUCAGGUACCUAAUCCACCCCUCCUGAGUCUUAAUUUGAAGAUUAGGGUUUCUAAUUUGAGUGAUAUUUGGGGAUUUCGUGAACUGGGGUUUCUGAUUUUUUUUUUGAAGAAAAAAAAAGUGCUUUCUCGAACUAGGGCGUCAGCAAUUAGGGGGAAAACGUGAAUUCGAUCGUGACUUGCUAAUUCUCCUACUUGUAUUUGCUGCUGAUCUGAAGCAUUAGCCCUUAGUGUGCAUGAUCAUGUUGUCCAUGUUUGACAGGCCGAACCUAAAUUGGUCUUAACAGAGGUUGUAUUGGGUUUAGACUAAUUAUCCUGAAGCAAUUCUGAGCCAAAUUUGACAGCACAAUUAUUGUAGCAUUAAUAUAAAACGUGACUAUAACCAGGCCCAGUAAACAGUUUUUGGGUGAAUUUGGGGAUUCACCAGCCUGUAGGGUGAAUUUGGACAAUCGAAAUGCAGCAAGAUGCAGUGGAGGUCCACGCCCAGCAGACACAGAGCCGGCCCGGUGUUUAUUAUACUCUCUCGUCACGUGAACCCUGUCAUCCUCUCUGCAGUAGACCAUGUGCACACCAGUCCCGGCGUGGUGCGUGCUGCUCCUGCGCCCAACGCCAAAACGGAUACGGCCGAGCCCACGGAAAAUGCUACUACACUAGUUGUAGAGUCCUCCGGUCACUUUGCACUUUGCAGUCGAUCUCAUCCUCCUCCAUUCCUCCUGCAGUCCUGCCUGCCAUCGUCACCCUGCAGGCUCUUUCUUGAUUCCAAGGUCAGCAACAACUUUUCUUGAUUCCAUCAUGUCUCUUCUCCAAUCGCUUUCAGUGAAAAGGAUUUGACAGUUCCAGUUAUAGCUUCAAUGGGAGAGUAGUUAUAGCUUCAUACUGAUUUUUGUGCCAUUAAGCUAUGUAUGUGUGCGAGAAAAGUGGGGAAUGGUGAGAAGGGGAUUCGUAUUUUUGUUUGGCUCGAAUACAAAGUUACUGUGGUUUAUAAUGUCCUGCUUUCUGCAAGUUUUUCUCAGAUCAUGAAAUUCAGAAAACUAUGAAGCAGCUCGAUCUGGUCAAGUAGCUUUCAGGUCUGGGAAAAUCUUGGAUCUGGGGCCCAAAACCUGUUCUUAUGAACUCAGGUAACAAUAGUACUUAAAUCUGCAAUGGGCAAUCUUGUGCUUAUGAACUCAUCACCUGACGAUUGAUGCUACUUAAAUCUGCAAUGCUGCCGUUAGACUACACCACCACCAGCUGGCCGCCGCACCGCAAGAACCAAGCCUUGUCUCGGCCCAAGGCGAUGCCGUCCAAGUGGGACGACGCGCAGAAAUGGCUGGUGGGCAUGUCGAACGGCGGCGGCCGCGCGGACGGAGGAACCCACGGCGGCGGCGGCGCCAGGGUGAAGCCCAGGAACUCGAACGCCGACGAUCGGCGCCUCCUCGGCUCGUCCUCGCAGAACGGCCGUGUGUCCUGCAGCAGCGUGGACGGCGCCUUGGAGUACAACAGCAUGGUGGUGGCCGCGCCCGCGCCCUCGACGCCGCCGCGGCAGACCGGCGGCGAGGGCGACGACGACGACGUGGAGGAGACCAAGAAGAUCGACUGCAUGGUGCAGCAGCAGCAUGGGCAUGGGCAUGGGCAUGGCUCGCCGCACAAGGCGGUGGUGAUGAGGUCCGUGUGCCUGCGGGACAUGGGGACAGAGAUGACCCCCAUCGCCAGCAAGGAGCCGUCCAGGACGGCCACGCCGCUGCGUGCCUCCACGCCUGUUGCCCGGAGCCCAAUAUCAUCGAGGUCGUCCACCCCAGCGAGAAGACGCCAGGAAGGGCCCGUGGGCGUGACCACCGCCGCCAUUGUAGGGACGACGACCGAGCAGGUAGCGGCAGCAGGCGAGGUCGGCUGUGUCGGCGAGGAGCGCACCGUGGUUGGUCAUGGUCAUGCCCCCAGCGUGAACUCGCUGGAGUCCCGCGCGGCAGCCUGGGAUGAGGCUGAACGGGCCAAGUUCAUGGCGAGGUGAAAGAAUUGUUACUCUUAAUUACUAUGCUUUGU
rnacentral:lncRNA from 1 species